rnacentral:lncRNA from 1 species
UAAUUUUAUAUGUUCUUCCGUUUCUCUUGUAUAUUUAAAAAAAAAUUUUUUUUGUUCUAAAUUUUGAUUUACAUUCCAUGUGUAGAAUACAAAUAUUUAUCUGUUCCAUUUUCGUUUUUGACCUGAUGAUGACCUGUUAAUCAGACUGAAAACGUUUGUUUUCAAUUAUAUAUUUUACUCAGCAACAAAUUAAGGUAUUUUAUUUUUGUGUGUUUAUUUGCUCAGCACUUUUAACGUUACGAAUAUUAAUGCAUUUGCUUCACUUAAUGUGUUGGCUUUUUAUUAAUAUGUUUAAAGUUUGAUCAUCAUAUGCUUAUAUGUAAACACUUCCAAAGUCCUCUUUAUUAUUUUGACAAUAAGGCAUAAUAUAGGAGUCAGUCUUGACCAAGUUGAAAGGGAAAAAGACACAAGUCACUCGAUGCUUUAUCAGAGGGUAAAAGAGUACAACAUUUGAACUGUUCUUUUAUAUACCCACUGUUUUUUGAUUUAUAAGGAAGACAAACCGGAACCAUUUUACCCACUUGUGAGCUUAGUGUAUUUGUAAGUCCUACAACUUAUAGCUACACUAAACUCAGAAUUGAUAAAUAGUGAAUAAUGCCUUUUUACACUUUGGUCAUCAAUAUAGGGUAGGUUUGUACAGUUAAACGCAUUACUAAUGAGUCAGUCAUAAAAUACAAAUUUUACCUAGCUCAACAUUGAUGACAUUUCAAAUGAAACUCUAAUGAAAUUCACGAAGGAAAGAGUUAGUUUAUAUCGUGAAGAAAAUGGCAUCCGGUGAUAGCGAUGUUUCUAAAUCUACUCAAAUGUUUAAAUUGUGGAUUAAAAAAUCAAAUGAUAAAAAUAACUCACUAGAAGCAAUCUAAGAAAAAUACUUUGGAUAAGACUGCACUAGCAACAUACGUCACUUUGGUUUUCAAAAUGGCAAUUUUGUCAUAAAAAGAUCAGUCAAAACAUCUAACAAGUAAGAGAAAAAUCAUAGUUAUUCUCAUUUAACUCGUUCAACUUUACAAACACACCCAUAGCCUUAAUUAUAGUUUGGAAGUGAGGAGGUUCCAGGUGUCAUAAGUGAUAACAUUUCUAUGACAUAUACAAAAGAUGCAGGUUGAAAUAUCACUUUGGUUAUAACAAACCAGAUGAUUGCAACAUUAGAUUGGGCUGUGGUAUUGUAGGUUGGCUGGUUCGAGUUUUUGGCACAAGAGCCAUAUAGGCCAUGCUGUGCCAUCACAAGUGUAGUAUCGUAACUUUCAAUAAUUAAAUGCCGAGUAAUUUGGCCUAGAAGUAGACCACGUCUUAUCAAAUUUAAUAAUUAAAAUGAAAUUAAUUUAGAAAGUUAAUAGUAGCAGUAAUAUAAUCCAAUCUAAUCUGGAAAUUGUUUGGCUUUAUUACUGGGAAUUACAAAUGUUUAUAUUUGUAUAUCUACAAACUUAAAUAUUUUAAUUUAAUUUACAUUUAAAUAUUUUAAUUUGACGUAAAUUAAGUAUUUUAUUAAUCUAAGUUUAACACAAGACUGAAGCCCGAUAACAUGCCUUUUAGCUAAAUUAUUUUGAUUAAUUAUUAAUUAGCCAUAUGCUAGCUUAAGAGUGAACUAAUGAUUUAUAUGUGAGUUUAUAACAAUACAGUGACAAAAAUAUAAAAAUAAAAUAUGGUAAUCAGAAUCAAAUACAGUCCUCUUGCACGAAAGUCAUUUCGUGUGUGUCUGAAUGUACCGAUAUGUACUGCUAGAAAGGUAUUGAAUGCGUGUCUAAAUUAUAACAAUUUGGGAGAAUUAUUAAAAAAGAAUAAGACGAAUUUUGCUUUUAAUUUUACUUAAACUCUCUUUUCUUUACAGUUGUAUCCCCGAACGAGGCCGUACUUUCGAGAGUUUUAUCCUAAUUCAAGUGAAACAUUUUGUUUUUGAGGCAUUGGUUCUUGUUGUUUUUCAAGCUCCUGGAUUAUAUCGUAAACUAACUGGUUAAGUUGCCAGAUCUGGUAUGGUUUAUAAAGUACAUCUGGUUGUAUCUGAUGAAAAGUGAUAUUAGGAUGGCUAGGAACCUCCAAUUAGAACUGUAAGACCAUUUUUAGUCUCUGACUAAAAAUGGUCCUACAUAUUGAUGGCUGUCAAUGGAAUCCAUGAUCAGUUUAUUGGUAUCAUACAAUCUGUGGUACCAUAAGAGUUUUUCGAUAGUGACACUUCCUGAUCGGAGAAUACGAUUCAAAGUAUGAACUGUUUCGACAUGAGAGAGAUUUAUCAAUAAAGUGGUUAUAUUCCGAGGAUUACUGGAACUGUUAGUCAAAGCUUGGUGAGAAUUAUGUUUUAAAUGCUGCUAAGGAAUGAGUGCAGUUUAUUCAAGGAUUAUCAGAAAGUUUGUUCAUCUUACAACCAGAGAAUGAUCACAUUUCCUUCCCGAGUCAUCAUCUCCAGAGGACUCAUAGAAUGUUUCACAAGGAAAUAUGCGAAAAAAGAUAAAAAGAUAACAUGAUCGGCCUGGAAAAAAAGUUUUCCUGAGAGUGUGGUCGCCAGGACAAGUCCUGACGAAUUUCCAACAACCCUCGGAUGGCUCCAGACGAAUCUCUGUAACCCAAGCUACAUCAUAUACAAGCAAUCUUAGAAGUAUGAUAAUGAAUAUUGUAAACUCUCUCUUGGCGCGCACACACCCACAAACUGUGUGUAAGGUCGAUAGAAUCUUGAUGUUAGUUAUGUUAUCUAAGUUGUUGUCUAAUAAAUUUUUGUUUUAUUGUUAAGUGGUGUCCUUUACUCGUGUGUCGCCGACGCCUCACCGACGACCCCUCUCACCUCCUCCACUCGACCUGAUAAAAAGAAUCCUGAUCCCGGGGGUUCUUAACACAAAACCUGCCAUCCUUUGACCAGUGGGCAGGCUUACCCAGCCUGUAAAGAGAUCCAAAAGAGGUACAACUUCGUCCUACCUCAGAGGCUAACCACAUAUAUAAUAGAAAAUAGUUGGUAUUGUAAUAUACUUUGUUCACAAAGGUUAAUAAAAUCACUUAAACCUAGACCAAUGUCUAAAAUUUUGUUUUAUUUUACAUUUUUAUAUUGUAUACAACUACAAUGAUGGAGACUUAAUCUUAACUACUUACUUCAAUUAAAAAAUUUCAUGUGGAAAUGUCAAGAAAAUAGGAUGUACAAAAAAUCAUUUUUAAUGGUACUGCUUUCUCUGCACCGUAUGUCCUUUCCCUUCAAUUUAAUUGGGUGAAAAGUGCUGUAUUCUGUCUUGACAACUGUCAGGAUGGAAAUAAUAGUAACCUUAUUCAGGUUUUUUGUAAUUUUAUUGAUAUACAGAAAACUAUUUACUUGUCACAUUUGCCUAUACCAUCUUAUUUAUGAGAUAUAAAAUUAAUAUAAGCCUUACACUGAAGUUUAAGAAUUACUUAAGCUAACAUUCGUUAACUUAAAUAUAUAUCAUUUUUGGGGAACUUCCUGGGUUUCAAAAUUUAUUGGCUAUGCCUGUGUCACAUAACUAAAUAAAUUAUUUAAUCAUAGGCACGCAAUGAUAAAAAACUUGAAUCACUAAAGGAAUUUGCCAUAUUGAUAUGCAACAAUGAAUAAUGAUUAAUUACCAUU